rnacentral:rRNA from 1 species
GACGAACGCUGGCGGCGUGCUUAACACAUGCAAGUCGAGCGGUAAGGCCCUUUCGGGGGUACACGAGCGGCGAACGGGUGAGUAACACGUGGGUGACCUGCCCUCAGCUCUGGGAUAAGCCUGGGAAACCGGGUCUAAUACCGGAUAUGACUCCAUGACGCAUGUUGUGGGGUGGAAAGCCUUGUGCGGCUGAGGAUGGGCCCGCGGCCUAUCAGCUUGUUGGUGGGGUGAUGGCCUACCAAGGCGACGACGGGUAGCCGGCCUGAGAGGGCGACCGGCCACACUGGGACUGAGACACGGCCCAGACUCCUACGGGAGGCAGCAGUGGGGAAUUUUUCGCAAUGGGCGCAAGCCUGACGAAGCAACGCCGCGUGGAGGAUGAAGGUCUUCGGAUUGUAAACUCCUGUCGACCGGGACGAA